GCGGGCGUAGUUCAAUCGGCCAGAACGUCGGUCUCCAAAACCGAAGAUCGAGGUUCAAGUCCUCGCGCCCGUG
rnacentral:tRNA from 1 species